CAGCGCAAUACCAACAUGCGGUUCUUCUCCGUAGCCUUCAUUCUUGGACUCCUGGUCGCUUUUCUGGCCUUCUGCUCCACAACAGCGGAGGAAACACACCUGCCGCAUCUACGAGUCCGUCGAAGUGGCGGCUGCCCAAACACCGGCAGCUGUACGAAGAGCUGCGAGGACAGCGGCCGCAAAACAGGGAACUGCGUGGGACCGCGUCGUUCAGUCUGCGUAUGCAAAAGAUAUUGAGCGGCACUCGCCAAAUAACUCCAAUAAAGCCACAACUUGUGCUUCGAUUG